UAGCUGCUCCAUGAUUACUAAUAUUUUUCAUAUAAACAAUAUUUUAUACUCAUAAUCUAUCUCAUUUGAUUCUUACAACAAUUCUAUGUGAGUUAGCAUGCAUAUUAAUAUUCCCAAUUUUAUACAUGAGUAAAUAGAGGUUUUUACUGAAAAAUAAAUGAACUUGGUCAAAGUCACAAAGAACUUUUUCGAGACUAUUGUCGAGGUUGUCCACCUCCUGGUCUACUUUACUAAACCAGCUAAGCAUCAUGGAUAAAAUUAAAGACUUUGGAGAAUGAGUAAGAUGUAGAUAACUAGGGAGGAGAGAACAUUCUAGUCUCAUAUGAUAUAUGGACUACACAUAAUUCUGAUCCAACAAACACACUUCUGUCAUGUGUAUGAUUCUAAGAUUAUUGUCAAUUGCUAGCUUAAACUGAUAAAAAUAUUACAGUAUAAAGGACUGGUCUUAAGUGUGUCUUUCUUACCCAUACCAAACUGACCUGUCUAGCCAAGUCACUUAAUUUUUCAGUGCCCUCAGAUAACUCAUUAAGACUGCAAGACACAAGAGUUGCUGAUCAACCUCACUGGAUGACAUUUCCAUACUGGGAGUUUCCCAGUCUGGUGUGUUCACAGGUCUAGAUUGCUCCUUUUCCACCAUAAAAAUUAGUUGAAUGGAAAAUGCCUUUCCUGCCCCACAUAUUCACUCCUGUUCCUUUUUCACAUCUGUUGCUUAUCAAUAACAGUUGCCAACCUCCAACAUCUGGUUUGUUGGAUCACAUAGGACACUAGACUAAUCAUUUCAAUGUUUUUUCAUUAGUAAUGUAGAUUUCCUAGAUCAAGGGCUGCAGCCAAAUUCUUGGUUUCUGAUGCCUGCUUCUUUGUGUCCUACCCACAGGUGGGACAGAAAGUCAGAUGCAGAGCCUUGAUUUCCAAGUGCCCAGAAGAAGUUCCAGCAGCAUGGGUCGCAGAGGGCCAAAGCCCAGGCCAUUUCCGUCUCCUUCCCCGCUAACAUCUGAAACAGCCCUGGUAGACAGGAACACACUCACAAAGGAGAGAGAGAGCCUGCUGGAAAUUUGCCUUAUCAGCGCUGAUUUUUUGGACCGGUUUCCAGACAUCCUCAAGAGGGAGAGAACUUUAAAAAAUUGAAGCAGUUUAAGAUCCCAAAUCACCAAAUCAUACAUAUUCAGGCUUCCACAUUCCUUACUCAAACACAGUACAGUAAUUGACAACCAGACCCUUGGAGACUGCACAUUUCCCAUGUGUUUCAGGAUAAAAGUUUCAUUUCUCCCAUCUUAUUCAUUACAACAAAGAAGAUAGUUCUCCACAUCUCACCAGAAGGGAAGGGAGUAGCUGUUUUCUGAACUCCUACCCACACCAGGCGAUCAGUCUUUAACAUAUAGAAAGAUCUAGAGACAUCAGCAAACUCUUCUGGUCUGGGUAUUAAUGAUGCCAUGCCCUCUUGUGGAGGAAAGAUAGAUUCUUGAACUUGGCUAUUGGCAAGGGAGCAGCUG